UGAUGCAUAGCCCGAGUUGAGAGACUGAUCGGGCCACAUUGGGGACUGGAGACACGGGGCCCAAACUCCUACGGGGGGAGGGGCAGCAGUAGGGGGAAUCUUCCGACAAUGGACGCAAGUCUGAUGGAGCAACGCCGCGUGAGUGAAGAAGGUUUUCGGAUCGUAAAGCUACUGUUGUUGGUGAAGAAGGAUAGAGGUAGUAACUGGCCUUUAUUUGACGGUAAUCAACCAGAAAGUCACGGCUAACUACGUGCCAGCAGCCGCGGUAAU
rnacentral:rRNA from 1 species